AUUGAACGCUGGCGGCAGGCCUAACACAUGCAAGUCGAGCGGAUGAAGGGAGCUUGCUCCUGGAUUCAGCGGCGGACGGGUGAGUAAUGCCUAGGAAUCUGCCUGGUAGUGGGGGAUAACGUCCGGAAACGGGCGCUAAUACCGCAUACGUCCUGAGGGAGAAAGUGGGGGAUCUUCGGACCUCACGCUAUCAGAUGAGCCUAGGUCGGAUUAGCUAGUUGGUGGGGUAAAGGCCUACCAAGGCGACGAUCCGUAACUGGUCUGAGAGGAUGAUCAGUCACACUGGAACUGAGACACGGUCCAGACUCCUACGGGAGGCAGCAGUGGGGAAUAUUGGACAAUGGGCGAAAGCCUGAUCCAGCCGUGCCGCGUGUGUGAAGAAGGUCUUCGGAUUGUAAAGCACUUUAAGUUGGGAGGAAGGGCAGUAAGUUAAUACCUUGCUGCUUUGACGUUACCAACAGAAUAAGCACCGGCUAACUUCGUG
rnacentral:rRNA from 1 species